rnacentral:misc_RNA from 1 species
AUGCGAUAAGUAAUGUGAAUUGCAGAAUUCAGUGAAUCAUCGAAUCUUUGAACGCACAUUGCGCCCGCCAGUAUUCUGGCGGGCAUGCCUGUUCGAGCGUCAUUUCAACCCUCAAGCCCCCGGGUUUGGUGUUGGGGAUCGGCGAGCCCUUGCGGCAAGCCGGCCCCGAAAUCUAGUGGCGGUCUCGCUGCAGCUUCCAUUGCGUAGUAGUAAAACCCUCGCAACUGGUACGCGGCGCGGCCAAGCCGUUAAACCCCCAACUUCUGAAUGUUGACCUCGGAUCAGGUAGGAAUACCCGCUGAACUUAA